CCAAUAGCGUAUAUUAAAGUUGUUGCAGUUAAAAAGCUCGUAGUUGAAUUUCGGGGUCAGUAGGUUGGUCAUGCCACUGGUAUGUACUGGUCUCACUGAUUCCUCCUUCCUGAUGAACUGUAAUGCCAUUAAUUUGGUGUUGCAGGGAAUCUGGACUGUUACUUUGAAAAAAUUAGAGUGUUUAAAGCAGGCUAACGCCUGAAUACAUUAGCAUGGAAUAAUGAAAUAGGACGUUCGAUCCUAUUUUGUUGGUUUCUAGGAUUGACGUAAUGAUUAAUAGGGAUAGUUGGGGGCAUUAGUAUUCAAUUGUCAGAGGUUAAAUUCUUGGAUUUAUUGAAGACUAACUACUGCGAAAGCAUUUGCCAAGGAUGUUUUCAUUAAUCAAGAACGAAAGUUAGGGGAUCGAAGACGAUCAGAUACCGUCGUAGUCUUAACCAUAAACUAUGCCGACUAGGGAUCGGAUGAUGUUAAUUUUUUAAUGACUCAUUCGGCGCCUUACG
rnacentral:rRNA from 1 species